UUUCCUGGAUGUGAAUAUCGAGUUUCUCUCAUAAAAAAAUGUAAAAAUGCAUUUCACCAAACAGAAUCACUUCUAUGUGAGAGGAUAAAGUCGGGGCUGCUUUUCUGGAAUCACUUCUGAUCACAACAUGGAAGCCAGUGGAUGAUAUGAAUUUUAAUGAAGUGUCAGUUAUGCCCAGUGAGACUGUUGGCACAGUGUGGAAUUCCUAAGACAAGAGAAAAUUGAGAAGCAUUUUGUUUUUAAAAACUCAUCACUCUCCGGAUAAGAGUUUCACUGGAGAGGUUUUUCCUUUGGUUGUGUUGGUAAUUGGAGUCUUCACAGCAAUGAUUAAUCAAAGAAUGGUGAAAGAUAUUCCAAACAGAGAACCCCUCCUAGUGCUGAAGGAGGCCACCCAGCCCAUCACGUCUACACCAACUGUCUGAGGAGAAUCUCACUAAAACUCAGCCCACACCUUAUUGCCAUUAACCCACGUUCACCAUGGCUAAUCCACAUAGUCUGCUCAACAUUAGACAUCACAGACAAUGUAGAAUUGCCAAUCCACCUAGCCUGCAAAUCUUUGGACUGGGCAAGGAAACCAGAGCACCCAGCAGAAACAGGAAGAGUGUGCAAACUCCACACAGACAGUCACCUAAAACUGGAAUCAAACCCAGGCCUCUGGCACUGUGAGGCAGCAGCGUUGAUCACUGUGCCGCCUUAUUCACCAGCAGUGAUGUGGGACUUGCAUGUGAUUGAUACAUUACCAACCUGUUUAAGAGUAAUUCUAACAGCAUUUGGACCAAUAGGCCAACCAGAAAUGCAGACAGUGCUCCAAAUGUGGCUGCAACAAGAUAUCCCAAUUCUUAUGUUCAAUGAUCUGACUGAUGAAUGCAAGCAUGCCCAAAAGUUUCUUCACCGCCCGAAUACCUUUGACUCCACUUUUGUGGAGCUAUGAACACAUAACCCUAGAUCUCUUUGUUCUAUAACACUCCUGGGAUGUUACCAUUGACUGUGUAAACCCUGGCUUGAUCUACAAAAAUGCAACAAC